GCGGUAAUACGUAGAAGACUAGUGUUAUUCAUCUUUAAUAGGUUUAAAGGGUACCUAGACGGUAAAUCAAGCCUAAAACUAAUUUACUAGAGUUACUUGUGAGGGGGCACUAAAGUACUGAUGGUGUAGAGAUAAAAUUCUGUAAUACCUUGAAAACAAUGGCACAGGUAUAGGCGAAAGCAUCCCCUUAUGUGAUAACUGACGUUGAAGGACGAAGGCUUUGUGUAGCGAACAGGAUUAGAUACCCUAGUAGUCGAAGCAGAAAAUGAUGAAUGUCAUAGAUUAGACAUCGUUUAUUCUAUAAAUGAAAGUGUAAGCAUUCCACCUCAAGAGUAAUUUGGCAACAUUGGAACUGAAAUCAUUAGACCGUUUCUGAAACCAGUAGUGAAGUAUGUUGUUUAAUUUGAUGAUCCGCAAAAAACCUUACCACAACUUGAAUAUUUAUAUCUAUUAUGAUAUUUUUACAAGCGUUGCACGGCUGUCUUCAGUUAAUGUCGCGAGACUUUGGUUAGUUCCAUUAUUAACGCAAACCCUUACUUUAUUUUUA
rnacentral:rRNA from 1 species